rnacentral:tRNA from 1 species
CAGAAGAUAGUUUAAUAAAAAAUAUUAAUUUUGGAGAUUAAAGAUAAGAUUUUCUUUCUUCUGA